rnacentral:ncRNA from 13 species
UUAGACGCACACGACUGGCGCUGCUUUGAAGGCGGAAUCGACCGCCGGGAAGUUAUCCGCCGUUGUCCCGCGCGCCUGGGGACGCGAC